AGCGAACGCUGGCGGCAGGCUUAACACAUGCAAGUCGAGCGGGCAUCCUUGUGGUGUCCGCGGCAGACGGGUGAGUAACGCGUGGGAACGUGCCCUUCGGUUCGGAAUAACUCGGGGAAACUUGAGCUAAUACCGGAUACGUGCGAGAGCAGAAAGGUUUAUCUGCCGAAGGAUCGGCCCGCGUCUGAUUAGCUAGUUGGUGAGGUUAUGGCUCACCAAGGCGACGAUCAGUAGCUGGUCUGAGAGGAUGAUCAGCCACACUGGGACUGAGACACGGCCCAGACUCCUACGGGAGGCAGCAGUGGGGAAUAUUGGACAAUGGGGGCAACCCUGAUCCAGCCAUGCCGCGUGAGUGAUGACGGCCUUAGGGUUGUAAAGCUCUUUUCUUCGGGACGAUAAUGACGGUACCGGAGGAAUAAGCCCCGGCUAACUUCGUG
rnacentral:rRNA from 1 species